UACGUAGGGGGCAAGCGUUGUCCGGAUUUAUUGGGCGUAAAGAGCGUGUAGGCGGCCGCACAGGUCCGUUGUGAAAACUGGAGGCUUAACCUUCAGACGUCGAUGGAAACCGUGCGGCUAGAGUCCGGAAGAGGAGAAUGGAAUUCCUGGUGUAGCGGUGGAAUGCGCAGAUAUCAGGAGGAACACCCAUAGCGAAGGCAGCUCGCUGGGACGGUACUGACGCUCAGACACGACAGCAUGGGGAGCGAACGGG
rnacentral:rRNA from 1 species